GCUGGCGGCACGCCUUAUACAUGCAAGUCGAACGAAGUAGCAAUACUUAGUGGCAGACGGGUGAGUAACAUGUGGGUAUCUUCCCUUUGGUGAGGAAUAACACGAGGAAACUUGUGCUAAUACCUCAUAAGUCUUUACGGAGAAAGCUUUAUGCGCCAAUGGAUGAGCCCGCACUUGAUUAGUUUGUUGGUGGGGUAAUGGCCUACCAAGACUUUGAUCAAUAGCUGAUCUGAGAGGAUGAUCAGCCACAUUGGGACUGAGACACGGCCCAAACUCCUACGGGAGGCAGCAGUAGGGAAUAUUGCACAAUGGAGGAAACUCUGAUGCAGCGAUGCCGCGUGAGUGAAGAAGGCCCUUGGGUUGUAAAGCUCUUUCGUCGGGGAAGAAAAUGACUGUACCCGAAUAAGAAGGUCCGGCUAACUUCGUGCCAGCAGCCGCGGUAAUACGAAGGGACCUAGCGUAGUUCGGAAUUACUGGGCUUAAAGAGUUCGUAGGUGGUUAAAAUAGUUGGUUGUGAAAUCCCGAAGCUUAACUUCGGAACUGCAAUCAAAACUUUUUAGCUAGAGUAUGAUAGAGGAAAGCAGAAUUUCUAGUGUAGAGGUGAAAUUCGUAGAUAUUAGAAAGAAUACCAAUUGCGAAGGCAGCUUUCUGGAUCAUAACUGACACUGAGGAACGAAAGCAUGGGUAGCGAAGAGGAUUAGAUACCCUCGUAGUCCAUGCCGUAAACGAUGUGUGUUAGACGUUGGAAAUUUAUUUUCAGUGUCGCAGCGAAAGCAGUAAACACACCGCCUGGGGAGUACGACCGCA
rnacentral:rRNA from 1 species